AACUGCUGGUAGUGAUGCCUCUGAAGUGGACUAACGGAAAACAGCGCGUGACAGAGGACAACGUCUUAAAAAACGCUGCCCAGGCUGGAGUGCAAUGGCGCGACCUCGGCUCGCCGUGGCCUCCGCCUCGCGGGUUCAAGCGAUUCUCCUGCCUCAGCCUCCCGAGCAGCUGGGACUACAGGCGCCCGCCACCAUGCCCAGCUAAUUUUUUGUAUUUUUAGUAGAGACGGGGUUUCACCAUGUUGGCCAGGCUGGUCUCAAUCUCUUGACCUCGUGAUCCGCCUGCCUUGGCCUCUGAAAGUGCUGGGCCUCUGAAAGAACAGGCGGGAGCCGCCGCUCACAUCUUUACUCAUGAACCUAAACUCACAGAGCAGCCCCACACUGUCGUCUGUGGAAACCACACCAGCUCCUCCUCUUCCUUCUGGACCUGCUGUCCCACCCUACGCCCAUUUUUUAUCUCCACCCACUCUUUGAACUUAGCACUGGUGUCUACAGGCUCGAUUCCCAGCUCUCCCACAAGGACGUGGCUCAGACGCACGUCACCAUCUCAACCCAAUGUAGGCCACCCGCUGCAGGCGAGCUUCCCUACCCAAUCCGACCUCCUAGACGGACACCCCAGGUUCCAGCCCUACAAGGGGCGCGUACUGGCACAACAGGCGGGCGUGGCUCUCGCUCCCCAGGAAGGCCUCGCAGAGGUGGGGACAAGGGCGGAUGGGAAAGGGGAUAAGCGACAGGAGAGGGGGGACUCCCGUUCCAAACAAAGGGGACUGCGUACUGGUGAAGAAGAAUGUGG
rnacentral:lncRNA from 1 species